rnacentral:ribozyme from 1 species
CUUGAUAGCUAUCGAAAGACAGUCCAAAGAACUAGGGAAGAAUUGAAGAAUGCACAAGCAGAACGAGAAAGAAUCGAAGCUGUUUCGUCGUAUCUUCGCUCUCACUAUCUAUGCCAGCUUUCAGCAUUGAAUGAAGAAGGUUUUAAAUUAAAUGAAGAAUUUGGAAGUAU